rnacentral:lncRNA from 1 species
UUUUUUUUUUUGUUUUUUUUUAAACUGAGGGUUCAGACUUUGAGUAUCUAUAUUUUUAUAUGAGAAGUCUAAGUUGCAAGUCCUAGCUUCACCAGGGCUUGAGAUAAAUGAACUCAUAUCACUUGGACCAACUACCUCUCUUUAACCCCGGGCGUAGCUAGCUUGCUUAUAUUUUGGUUUUCAAUCCCUUCUUUGUUUCUCACAGAUAAAGUAGAUUGAUACAUACUGUGCUAGAAAACAUAGUAAGUAUUCAUUUUGAAUAUAACUAUUACUUGACUAGACACACACACACAAAACAUGUGCAAAGGCACUUCACAUGCAAAUAGUUAUAAUAGUCACCAUUCAUUGAACCCACAGAAUAAGGAACUAUGUCACCUUGCAUGCAUUAUCUCAGUAAUAACAUUCUAAGUAAUACUGUUAUUAUGCCCAUUUUAUAGGUAAGAAAACAGAAUUUGAGGGCUUGGGAAACUGACUUAAUGUGACAGAACAGGGAAACUCAAAUUUAUCUGAAUCAAUGGAAAUGUUUUUAAUUGUCACACCAUACAGCUUCCCCAUAUGAGAAAAAGAGUUGUUGUUGUUGUUUAGGGCCCCACCCACAGCAUAUGGAAGUUCUCAGGCCAGGGGCCUACACCACAGCCACAGCCACAUCCACACCAGACUGGUAUGAGAUGGUACCUCAUUGUAGUUUUGCUUUGCAUCUCUCUAAGAAUUAUGAUGUUGAGCAUUUUUUCAUGUGCCUGUUGGCCAUCUGUAUGUCUUCUUUGGAGAAUUGUCUAUUUAGGUCUUCUGCCCAUGUUUCAAUUGGGUCGUUGGAUUUUUUUGUUGUUGAGUUGUAUGUGUUAUUUGUAUAUUUUGGAGAUUAGGCCCUGGUCUGUUCCAUUGUUUGCAAAGAUUUUCUCCCAUUCUGUGGGUUGUCUUAAAAACCAGUCGCCACACCUGUGGCAUAUGGCAGUUCCUGAGCCAGGGAUUGAGCCACAGCCACUGCAGAAGCCAGCUGAGCUAUUCUGUGAGCCACAAGGGAAGUUCUAUAACCACAUCCUCUUAAUCCAAUCAUCUGUUGAUGGGCACAUG